UCCGUGCUCGCGUUCUCGGCGGGUACGUACUCCCGUACGUUCUCGGCGAGUACGUACUCACCGAGAACGCGAGUACGUACUCGCGUACUCGGGCAUUGAUAAACGGCCUGUGUGUGGACAUUACUCAGUGUUACAGGACGAUAUCCGUCUGAAGCUGGACCUCAGGAAUAACAACGAGUUUAUCAUGGAGUUUUCGCCCGUGGCCACCACACAAGCUAAGGACCUACGUGUUUUCUCAACAUCGGUAGUUGUUCCUCCAAGUAGUCAGUUAGUCUUAAUUAUUAUGCGUAAUUAGUCUGCCUGGACCUGGUCCCUGGACGGCUGCUGUUCCACCAACUGCACAAACUGUUAUUCCGCCUGGUUUCCCAGUCUCAAGGAGUCGCUGAAAGGUUUCCCUAAUAGUUCCUGGUGAAUCAAAGCAGAACCAUAAAGGUUGCUGGACUGCAUGAUGGCCUUACCCCUGAGCAGUCAUCCUGUUAAAGGAGGAACCAGUUAGAAGCUGUUUUCAAAGUAGCUGAGCAGAUUUCAUCUCAACAGACAAAGCCGAUGCCAGAAGAUGUUUGGAGAAGAACUUCAGGCCGUGUACUGAAAAG